rnacentral:rRNA from 1 species
CCGUUCGGGGGUAAACGGACAGAGCCCGUGAAUCCGGGCGCGCGGAAUUCAGGACCGACGAGCGUGCGACGCGCCCCAUCUCUUUUCGGGGGGGUGGGGUCGUCGCGCGAGCGUCGAUUCGAUAUUUCCGCCGCCGACCCGCUUAUCAACGGGUGCGGACGUCGCGACCCGUUCGCCGCCGGUCUCACGGGGCGCGCAUCAAGUUCGUCGCGCGUUCGUCGCCGCGUCCUCUUUCGGGGGGGCGCGAACGGCGGCGCGCGGCGAUGGCGCGCUUUUUCGCGGGCCGGCGUUUUGCGGACGGUAGCCUCGAGCGUGCGGGUAAUCGACGCGGCCGAUCGGCCGACGUUUCUCCGUCGUCGUCGUCGUUUCUUUCACGAGGGCGGCGGCGGUGGCGGGGCGUUGGUCGGGCGCGCGCGUCGACGCCGGUCAGCGACGAAUCUUCGGGCCUCUUUCCGACCCGUCUUGAAACACGGACCAAGGAGUCUAACGUGCGCGCGAGUCGCGGGGUAUCCGAGUCGGUAACGCGACUCGUCACGAUACAAAACCCGUGUGUACGUACGUUGUGCGAAGGCGUAAUGAAAGUGAAAGGCGCGCGCGUUCGCGCGCGCGUCGGGGAAGACGGCGUUUCCGAGUACACGUUUCUCGGUCGUACGGUACCGAGACCGGGCGCCCGCAUUCCCAGGGCGUCCCGCUCGUACGUCGGUGGCGCGGACGCGCGGUCGUUUCGGCGGCCGCGCGUCGACCGCCGACGAACUGGGGCGCACCUCUAGCGUGCACGUUGGUACCCGAAAGAUGGUGAACUAUGCCCGGCCAGGAUGAAGUCAGGGGAAACCCUGAUGGAGGUCCGCAGCGAUUCUGACGUGCAAAUCGAUCGUCUGAGCUGGGUAUAGG